rnacentral:rRNA from 1 species
CUACGGGUCGCUGCAGUGAGGAAUUUUGCGCAAUGGGGGAAACCCUGACGCAGCAACGCCGCGUGAGCGAAGAAGGCCCUCGGGUCGUAAAGCUCUGUCAAGUGGGAAAAAAAUUUUUUGAUCAAUAGUCAAAAGACUUGAUGGUACCACUGGAGGAAGCACCGGCUAACUCCGUGCCAGCAGCCGCGGUAAUACGGAGGGUGCGAGCGUUGUUCGGAUUUACUGGGCGUAAAGAGCGUGUAGGCGGUUUAGCAAGUCAGAUGUGAAAGCCCUGGGCUCAACCCGGGAAGUGCAUUUGAAACUGCUUCACUAGAGUAUGGGAGAGGAGAUUGGAAUUCCUGGUGUAGAGGUGAAAUUCGUAGAUAUCAGGAGGAACACCUGUGGCGAAGGCGAUUCUCUGGACCAAUACUGACGCUGAGACGCGAAAGCGUGGGGAGCAAACAGGAUUAGAUACCCCCGUAGUC